UACAGAGGGUGCAAGCGUUAAUCGGAUUUACUGGGCGUAAAGCGUGUGUAGGUGGCUCGCUAAGUCGGUUGUGAAAUCCCUGGGCUCAACCUGGGAAUUGCAGUCGAUACUGAUGAGCUCGAGUUCGGUAGAGGGUGACGGAAUUCCCGGUGUAGCGGUGAAAUGCGUAGAUAUCAGGAGGAACACCGGUGGUGUAGACGGCUCACUGGACCGUAACUGACGCUGAGACACGAAAGCGUGGGUAGCAAACAGG
rnacentral:rRNA from 1 species